UGUUGUUUUUUCGGUAAGGUGGUGGAGGGACUGCACGUGGUGGCCGAGGCAGCCCAACACAGCGACAUUAAGGAGGAGAUUGUGGUGGACUGUGGCGUGGUGCUGUAAGGGUAUACUGGCCUGCACCACCACCACCACCACCACCACCACCACAACAUUAAGGAGAUUGUGGUGGACUGUGUGGUGUUGAGGGUACUGGCCUGCACCACCACCACCACCACCACCACAACAUUAUAGAGGAG